rfam:Drosophila simulans chrT_M_1334 genomic scaffold, whole genome shotgun sequence.
ACUUAGCUAAAACGUUUGGUUCAAAACAUUUGCUUGCUGUCUUGGCAUAACAUCAUAAAGGCAUAACAUCGCAAAUAUGGUAUAUAUAAUGGCUAUGAGGAUGGUUUAGUACGUAGCGUGCGGACUCGGUCAAUAGAGCAUGAUCGUGCAUGCUAGGAAACUGAC